rnacentral:rRNA from 1 species
UACGUAGGGUGCAAGCGUUAAUCGGAAUUACUGGGCGUAAAGCGUGCGCAGGCGGUCUUGCAAGACAGAUGUGAAAUCCCCGGGCUUAACCUGGGUACUGCAUUUGUGACUGCAAGGCUGGAGUGCGGCAGAGGGGGAUGGAAUUCCGCGUGUAGCAGUGAAAUGCGUAGAUAUGCGGAGGAACACCGAUGGCGAAGGCAAUCCCCUGGGCCUGCACUGACGCUCAUGCACGAAAGCGUGGGGAGCAAACAGG